rnacentral:lncRNA from 1 species
GAGGGGGUCUAAAUAAAAGUAGAGAAUGAAAGAAGCGGAGAUUAGGAAGAAAGGGAUUUGGAUGAGAGCAAGGAAUGGAAAGAGUAGCAAGUGAGAAUGAGGGAGAUUGACAUGAGAGUUGAAAACCAAAGAAACAAGGGCUAUGAACAAAGAGGGUGGAGAUGAAGGUUAAAAUAAGGUGAGUUGAUUUAAUAAAUGG